GAAAAUUUCACGGUGGCAAAGAGAAUAUCGAGGGACCAAAUUGUUAUUUAUUAACAAAUGGGGGCUCGUCCUUCCGGAAUUUCUCAAAAAGACAGGUAAGAAACUUUUAUUUUUCUUCCUGUCUGUAAGAGAAAUUGAAUUUAUUCUCGUUUGCAAUUUGAUUGUGUCAUAUUUGGCAUUAAUCUGUUUUCCUCACAUUUUAUAUGUGGGACGAAGAGUGAGAAGCUUUCCGUUUAACCUAUCUAUUUCAGAAAAAUAGAGUAGUGGGAAAGAUUUUAAUUGCUCACUCUUGCCGUGAAAGUUCUCGGUUUCUUAAGUGAUUUCAUGAAUAAUACAGAAUUUAAAGCUUUCUUUUGGCCAAAAUAUCAAAAAGUUAAUAUAAGACCGCGGUCUCUAUUUUGUGUUUUGUUUGGCCAUUCUAUAAAUUGUGAAAAGUGCACUAAAAUUGACGAGACAUCUUUGAUCUCCGAUGGGGCAGGCGAUCUCCAAACCAAUUCUUGGCGAGUUGCCAAGGGAUUGGAUGUACAGAAACAAUAAAGGGUUUAAUACUGAACCAUAUUUGAGUAAUUUGGCUGGUUGAUCAGGUUAAAACGACUGAUAAAAAAUCUUUCUUUCAAAUGUCCCAUGUUGACUCUCCCAGCUCGGCUCCGCCUCGGUAUGAUACUGUUGGAAAGCCUGAA